AGGUAAGCUACUAAGAGCGAAUGGUGGAUGCCUUGACUGGUAAAGGCGAUGAAGGACGUACUAGACUGCGAUAAGCUACGGGGAGCUGUCAAGAAGCUUUGAUCCGUAGAUUUCCGAAUGGGGCAACCCAAUGUAUAGAGAUAUACAUUACCUAUAUAGGAGCGAACGAGGGGAAUUGAAACAUCUUAGUACCCUCAGGAAAAGAAAUCAAUAGAGAUUGCGUCAGUAGCGGCGAGCGAAAGCGCAAGAGGGCAAACCCAGUGCUUGCACUGGGGGUUGUAGGACUGCAAUGUGCAAGAGGUGAGUUUAGCAGAACAUUCUGGAAAGUAUAGCCAUAGAGGGUGAUAGUCCCGUAUGCGAAAAACAAACCUUAGCUAGCAGUAUCCUGAGUAGGGCGGGACACGAGGAAUCCUGUCUGAAUCCGGGUCGACCACGAUCCAACCCUAAAUACUAAUACCAGAUCGAUAGUGCACAAGUACCGUGAGGGAAAGGUGAAAAGAACUGAGGUGAUCAGAGUGAAAUAGAACCUGAAACCAUUUGCUUACAAUCAUUCAGAGCCCUAUGUAGCAAUACAGGGUGAUGGACUGCCUUUUGCAUAAUGAGCCUGCGAGUUGUGGUGUCUGGCAAGGUUAAGCAAACGUGAAGCCGUAGCGAAAGCGAGUCUGAAUAGGGCGCUUAGUCAGAUGCUGCAGACCCGAAACGAAGUGAUCUAUCCAUGAGCAAGUUGAAGCUAGUGUAAGAACUAGUGGAGGACUGAACCCAUAGGCGUUGAAAAGCCCCGGGAUGACUUGUGGAUAGGGGUGAAAGGCCAAUCAAACUUCGUGAUAGCUGGUUCUCUCCGAAAUAUAUUUAGGUAUAGCGUUGUGUCGUAAUAUAAGGGGGUAGAGCACUGAAUGGGCUAGGGCAUACACCAAUGUACCAAACCCUAUCAAACUCCGAAUACCUUAUAUGUAAUCACAGCAGUCAGGCGGCGAGUGAUAAAAUCCGUCGUCAAGAGGGAAACAACCCAGACUACCAGCUAAGGUCCCUAAAUCUUACUUAAGUGGAAAACGAUGUGAAGUUACUUAAACAACCAGGAGGUUGGCUUAGAAGCAGCCAUCCUUUAAAGAAAGCGUAAUAGCUCACUGGUCUAGUGAUUUUGCGCGGAAAAUAUAACGGGGCUAAAGUAAGUACCGAAGCUGUAGACUUGCGCACAACUUAGAUUAUUUAAGUUUAGAAUAUGAGAAACUAAGUUAUAUGUUUAGUUAUAUUUUUACUGAUUUUUAUAGAGUAAAGAUAGAAAUAAAACUUAGUAAAAUCAGUAAAAAUAUUCUUAGACUAAAGUUAAGUAGUUUAAGUUGUGUGCAAGUGGUAGGAGAGCGUUCUAUUUGCGUCGAAGGUAUACCGGUAAGGAGUGCUGGAGCGAAUAGAAGUGAGCAUGCAGGCAUGAGUAGCGAUAAUUAAUGUGAGAAUCAUUAACGCCGUAAACCCAAGGUUUCCUACGCGAUGCUCGUCAUCGUAGGGUUAGUCGGGUCCUAAGUCGAGUCCGAAAGGGGUAGACGAUGGCAAAUUGGUUAAUAUUCCAAUACCAACAUUAGUGUGCGAUGGAAGGACGCUUAGGGCUAAGGGGGCUAGCGGAUGGAAGUGCUAGUCUAAGGUCGUAGGAGGUUAUACAGGCAAAUCCGUAUAACAAUACUCCGAGAACUGAAAGGCUUUUUGAAGUCUUCGGAUGGAUAGAAGAACCCCUGAUGCCGUCGAGCCAAGAAAAGUUUCUAAGUUUAGCUAAUGUUGCCCGUACCGUAAACCGACACAGGUGGGUGGGAUGAGUAUUCUAAGGCGCGUGGAAGAACUCUCUUUAAGGAACUCUGCAAAAUAGCACCGUA
rnacentral:rRNA from 1 species